UCCCAUGUGGUGGACGCCAAGGCUGAUUCUAAAUGUUCACUUUCUGAAAUCAAUAUCGUAGUAAAAACUACACAAGAAGUUUGUGUGGGUACAAAUAUAUCUGUAGGAUUCAUUUCCAGCAAAUGGCUUGCUAUAAUUUAGAUAGCAACCAACAAAGUGACCUUCACAGAGGCUGGAUCAAUUCAUACUCCCUCAGAACUGUGGAUGAAUCCCUUUGCCCCCUUUCAGAUAAAAGUGAAAGCUUAGGUAAGAUGGUGGGUGGAGAUCACUCUGCUACAACCCUCCCGAAUGGUAAUUUAAAAAUCCAUCUUCACAGGCAAAUGUUCACAAUAUAGUAAGAAGCACAUUACAAGAGAACUUUCUAAACAAAAGAUAACUAUACAUAUUUUUGUGUGUAUAAAAUUUAAUGUUCACUCUAUGUAUACACACAUGUAUACUUCAAGAAAAAGUUACAAAGAAAAUUAACAAAACCUUAAGGUAAUGAGCAUCCCUGGAUGGUGGAAGUAUGAGGAACUAAAUUUUAAAUAAGCCUUCAUACUUUUGUGUAUUUUACUUUUGUGCAUUUUCCAGGUUUUGCUACAAAGAUUUUGCAUUAUUUUGAUAAACUGAUAAACCCAUAUACUUUCUCUAGUUUACAGCAAUUUCCCCUGAGGAGUUUCUUAUCUGACUUGGUUUCAAAGUAUCUGUAAGGAAAUUAGUAGGAAUAUGAUGCCUAGAAAAAGUGACCCGAAAUGAGAAAUGGAAAAUUCCAAAAGAGCUGCACUUCAUGGAGAGGGCUGCAAACGCUGACGGUGACAAGCUUGUUCCCAGCUUAACCGAUGAGGUGACUGGAGCCCAGCCCACCCAGUGCCCACCCAAAGAACUGUGGAGACACGACCCUUCUACAGUUGCCACUGUGCGGCCGCGGCGGAGGGCCGGGGCAGUCGCAGGCCUGGCUUCUGAGCUGUCCAGUUACCGCGGGGUCUCCCCGAGCCAGGGCACACUAGUGGUGGGAGCAUUCCAAGUCUGCACCCCCACACCAACGACGGGGCUGCCGCAAGUGGAGGGCACUAGUGGCCAGGCUUCUCCUGGUCAUCCUGCGUCAGUGGCAGCAGUGGGAAGGAAACGGAACAAAGAAGAGAGCCACGCUGCUUCCAUGGUAAAAUCAACAGGAUGUCUAUCAGUAUCUUUUGGACUGAGAGAUGGGGUGGCAGGGGCAACAAUCCUCGAGAAAGGGAGCAGGGCAGGGGGCACAGGUUUGGGAUGGAGAGUGGCAUUUCCCUCUGGGUAG
rnacentral:lncRNA from 1 species